rnacentral:rRNA from 1 species
CAAUAGCGUAUAUUAAAGUUGUUGCGGUUAAAAAGCUCGUAGUUGGAUUUCUGCUGAGAACGACCGGUCCGCCCUUUGGGUGUGUAUCUGGCUCUUUCUUGGCAUCUUCUUGGUGAACGUUGCUGCACUUGACUGUGUGGAGCGCUACCCAGGACUUUUACUUUGAGGAAAUUAGAGUGUUUCAAGCAGGCAUACGUCUUGAAUACAUUAGCAUGGAAUAAUAAGAUAGGACCUCGGUUCUAUUUUGUUGGUUUCUAGAGCUGAGGUAAUGAUUAAUAGGGAUAGUUGGGGGCAUUCGUAUUUAACUGUCAGAGGUAAAAUUCUUGGAUUUGUUAAAGACGGACUACUGCGAAAGCAUUUGCCAAGGAUGUUUUCAUUGA